GCUGGCUGUGAAUUUCUGUCGACUGAACGUAAAUUCAUUCCUUGAGCUUAUUCCUUUUGAGCACCUCAACCAAAUUGGAAGUGUUUUUAUUUUAUCUUUUUUUUUUUUUGUUUACACAGCCUUGAUUUGCCGGCUUCGACAGCACCAACCAUGGAUGGAAAUACGCCUUUCUAUAAUAAUCAGCGUUUCACUCCUGGCAAUGCGCCAUUUAACAAUUGUCCCAAUGGCAAUUGUCAGCGAGUGGAAGCAGGCAGUCAAAGAUCUUGUUGUCCUGGUGGUGUCUGCUGUCCAAACGGACGUUGUCCACAACGCGAGCAGGCUCCAAGACAGCAGCAACAGCAGCAACCACAGCAUCCGGUUUGGAAUUCCAACAAUGGACGCUGGCAAUAAACAAAAAGUAAAGCGAGUCCGGCAAAUCAGUGCACUUAUUAAACUAAACACUAUAGUAUAAUUGAAAUGACCAACUCUCUCUCCCUUACCGAAUGGCUGUUUUGUUAGUAAAUAAAUAUUAUAUAUAAUAUA